GAUGAAGAACGUAGCGAAAUGCGAUACUUGGUGUGAAUUGCAGAAUCCCGUGAACCAUCGAGUCUUUGAACGCAAGUUGCGCCCGAAGCCAUUAGGCCGAGGGCACGCCUGCCUGGGCGUCACACGUCGUUGCCCCCCCAUCUACUCCUUCGGGAUUGCGGGGGGCGGAUGAUGGACUCUCGUGCGCCUCGUCGCGCGGUUGGCCUAAAUGCCAAGUCCUCGGCGACGCACGCCACGACAAUCGGUGGUUGCGAAACCUCGGUUGCCUGUCGUGUGCGGUCGUCGCGCAUCGAGGGCUCGAAAAAAUUGCCGGGCUUCGGCUCGACUUUCAACGCGACCCCAGGUCAGGCGGGGUUACCCGCUGAAUUUAAGCAUAUCAAUAAGCGGAGGA
rnacentral:misc_RNA from 1 species